UCCUCGUGUUGCAAAUACGUUUGCAUUGC
rnacentral:sRNA from 1 species